rnacentral:rRNA from 1 species
UACGAAGGGGGGCUAGCGUUGCUCGGAAUUAUUGGGCGUAAAGCGCGUGUAGGCGGCUUUGCAAGUCGGGUGUGAAAGCCCUCAGCUCAACUGAGGAAGUGCGCCCCGAAACUGCAGAGCUUGAGUGCCGGAGAGGGUGGCGGAAUUCCCCCAAGUAGAGGUGAAAUUCGUAGAUAUGGGGAGGAACACCGGUGGCGAAGGCGGCCACCUGGACGGUAACUGACGCUGAGACGCGAAAGCGUGGGGAGCAAACAGG